rnacentral:lncRNA from 1 species
GCACUUCUCAACCAGCAGGAAGAAUAGCCACACGCAUCCCUUGCUGCAUCCUCGGAGGCUGCUACUGCUUCAUCCUGCUGCUCCUGCAGCUGCUCUUCCACCUGUGCUGGCUGCGGGGCAGCCGUGGGGAAGCCUGCGGCUGCUGCUGGGGAGAAGGGAGCCAGCGUGCGGGAGCAGCCAGGGCCGGGGCACAAUGAAGUGCCCGCAGUGCCCGGGCACAAGGAAGGCGCUCAGCUGCUGCCUCGGGGCUGCUUUUCCCUCUGGCACCUGCCCCUCUGCUGGACAAACCGGGCUCCCGGCCCCUGCCUGCCCCCAGUGCACAACCACUCCCCACGCUCACAUACCCCUGCUCUGAAAUUCCUGCUCCCAAUUCAAACACCAAAUAAACACCUUUCCUCUGGCCUCCCUGUCUCCAAAGUGCCUGGCAUGGGGCUGCAGCACCACCUGAAGCAGUUCCAGCAGCAAAGCCAGAGCCGGGAGAGAUUCCCAAAGCUUCUGGCCGGCCCCAGGUGGCAGUGGCACCUCGCAGUGGGGCUGGAGUCUCCAAAGGCUGCUUUCGUGGGGCAGGGUCUAGACGGCUGCUGAGGCUGAAGGGUGACAGCUGCAGGAGGGCCCUGUGAGCCAUCCAGCUGCAUCCCCUGGGAAAUCGUCCCCAAAAAUGGGGAUGCAAUGGACGCAUUUUCUGGCAGCUCCCUGCUGUGAGCGUGGAAGGGGUGCUGCGGCAGAAGCAGCGCCCGCAGUGGGGGCACAGGGGACACCCCACAGCCCCCUCUGUCCCCGCAGCCCCAAAGCGUGCAGGUGGCACAGGAAGGAGCCGGGGCUCGCCCGCCCGCCCGCAGCGAACCCCACGGCGCCGAGGGGCUGAGCGAGAGCCUCCGACUUCCUCCUGGCCCAGGCGAGCGCAGCAGCCGCAGGCGAUGUGUCCCGGCCGGCGCUGCUGGGGCCUCGGCUCCCUCCUGCUGCUGCUGCUGCUGCUCGGGCGAAACCUGGGCCUCCUCGUGGAAAUCCCGCAGGAUGCAGUCAAUGGCACCGUGGGGCAGUCCGUGCUCUUGCCCGUCUCCUACAGAUGCAACAGCACCUCUUGCUUCCCACUGUCAAUUAAGUGGCUCUUUGGUCACACCUCACAAGUAAUCACCGCUUGCUCAGUGCAGAACUGCUCCCUGGAUGAUGGGGGGGCUCCCAAGAACUGCUCCACAAGCUGUUUCACCAGUCUUCCACAUUCAGGCCGUGUUGAGCUCUUCCCCGAGAACGCAUCCCUGCUGCUGUGGGACCUGCGGCUCAGUGACAGCAGAGUGUACACCGUCAGCUUCCAACAGCACCAAAUACAAAUCAGGCACAUCACCCUGACCGUGCUCCAGCAGCCUGUCCCCACAGAUCCUACCAGCAAAGGCAUCAGCAAGCAAGACCACAUACAAAACUACAUAAUUGGAGCUUCCUCAUUAAUCUUUCUCCUGCUGUUCCUGGUCUUCUGCGUUUGGCGCUGGGGUAGGUGGCUCUUGCACUGCAAACUUUGAGGUUGCACCUCUGGUUCCUUCGGGCAUAUUCCCUGGGGAUAAAGGUAGUGGGGGGGCUCUGGAGAGGUUCUGCUCUUCACGCCAGAAUUAUUCCUUUCCUGUGAGGUCCCCUUCAGCGUACCACCUCCUUCCAGCUGUAAAGAGUCACAGUUUCUAGUUUGUGAUGCAGCUGAACGAAGCAGAAGCACAGCACGGGGCUGUUGCAAAGGUUUUCUGGAGAGCCCAUACCUUCUGGAAAAUAAACCAGCAAGGUGCCUAUCUCCAUGGCUCCCAUCAAAGCCUUCACCCCCGAGGAUGCCUUUGUCAGGAGACAAGUUCAUUUGUUUCCAAGGGGGAGAUUUCACCCGUGUUUGGCUGGAGCAGCCACAGAACUCUCCGUCUUGAUGGCAAAAUCCUCAUUAACCCCCUGGUGAAAGUGCCAGUAUAUUAUCUCCGGUCCUCCAGGGCUACGAUGGGGAGGGUGCAACCUGUCGGUAACAAAACCUUCUUUUUCCGAGGUGCAGUGCAGAAGAAGAAGCUGAGAAUCGUUAAACAACAGCAGGUACAGAAAAAAAAUUUUUUUUGAACGUUCUUUAGUUAAAUGCUAACUGCUGGCUUGAAUAAGAUGCACUGAGCUACAAGAAUUGGUUGCUGAAUUUAAAAUUAGGAAGUGAAUUCCAUGUUGUAAGGGCAAGCUGCAAAGUGGUAAGUGACCCUGGGGUACUGCUUUCCCCCAGCUGCACCUUUCCCCUUUGCCUCCCUCCCCGACCCCAAAAGGACCUGAUUUUACCUUCGUGGCUGAGAAGCC